CCGUUUUUAUUUUUCUAUGAAUAUUUUUUAAAAAUCAGCGAUGCGCUGAGGCCGCGAAACUUGAACCGCGAAAAUUUAACCGUGAAAAUUUAAGCGCGAAGUGGCGAGGGAUUACUGUAUAUCCUGUUUUGGACGCCAUAUCGGUGAACGAAUCGUCUAACAGACAAGUGCGCUCUCUCCAGGCUUAGAGUUGUGACUCGUAAACAGGACGUUUUCUGGUAGACAAACUGCCCACGUCAGACGUCUUUACCCUCGCUACUAUUUUUUUUUAGAUUAAGGCUCCAGAGAACGCACGGAUAAACCCGAUCAAGUCAAGUCAGAGAAAAGGUCAUCCUUAUUUCUCGGCCAUACCGAGAUGAAAAUGCAUGUCGCGUUUGGCUUUGCACUUCAUCUUUCUGAGAAGUGGCACCAACACACCAUCAGAAAAAAUCCCUCUAUUACAGAACAAAUGGUGGCUCUGAAAGUCGCCGCUUUCUGAAGGCUUUCUGGA